GCGUGAAGUCACGAUUAGACACUCGUUGCACAAUACGUUUAAACCACUAUUUUUAUUUCCGUUUGUUCUUCAAAAUGAGAAGAAAUUACGUUACUUGACCUCGGAGAAACGUCAAAAGUGAAUAUUCAUAAACAUUUAAAAGUUGUAGAAAGUAUCGUUUUCGAUGAUAAUCUGUAUACGAAUUUUUGGGGAAUUUCAAUAACUGCAACCGUAUAGCUACAACCAAUACGCAGGGUAAUUGAACUUUGAAACUAUUAUCUGGCUUGUAACAAUUAUCUAUCGAUGAAAAUGCAAAAAUUAAAAGAAAAUACCAAUUAUUUUUUGAAGUGACAUCGUGACGUCGUUUAUAUAAGGUUGAAGUGAAUUUUAUCUGUUAAUGCAGUAAUUGUUACCGCCUAGGUAUAUUAUUAAAAAUCAAUUAUUAUUCAUGGCAACUACAAUGGUGAAUUUUAACAACGAUGGAAUAGCGUAAGUGCGUCUUAUAUAUACAGUGUGAUUACAUGAUUACUU